rnacentral:sRNA from 1 species
ACUUUGCCGCAGAGUGCAGGAAAAGGAAGGCCGAUCAAGUUGCUAAUCGAGGGAAAGGAAGAGGAAACUCGAGAGUUCAUUUUGAAAGUAACAGACCAAGGAAUUAUUUCAGAAUGGAAAAUGUGCAUAAUGUAGGUGAUACAUCGGAUGAAGAAAAGCUAGGACCAUACUGAGUAUACCUAGUCUCAUAUGAUGGAGCCAGGUAAGCAGCCACCAAUUUGUGUGUCCUUAGCAUUGACUGGAGUAGAUCAGUCUAUGGAGUUGGAUACGGGAGCCAGUAAGACCGUGAUUAGUGAGGAAAACGGUUGAAGUUAGAACCUUCGUGUACAAUUUGCUAACCGAGAAACUUAUUCCCAUUCCAGGAACAGUAAAGUUGAAUGGACCUUCAAAGAUAAACAGUGGUAUGACCUCAAAGCGGAAGUGCUGGAGGAAAGACACCAUCUUUACUUGGCCGUAGUUGGCUUAAUGUCAUUAAACUAUGCUGAGAUGAAGUACAUGUAUCUCAGGUUAAAACAGAAGUGCAGUCUGAUAUGGAUCAGAUUCUGAAGAAGUAUGAAGUUGUGUUCAAGAAAGGAUUGGGGACAGUCCAAGGUGUGAUAGCGAAUAUACAUGUAGAAUCUCAUGAAGAAGUGAAAUACAUGUACUUCAAAAGUCGUCCACCACCUCUUGCUUAGGAAGAUAUAAUUAAACAAGAAUUUGACAGAUUAGAUAAUGAAGGAACUGUUACCAUUGAAAAGUUUUCAUAGUGAGCGAAGCCAAUUAUACCAUGCAAGAGUAAGUGACACGACAGUACGUAUUUGUGGUGACUAUAACGUUUAGAAAAUACGUUUCUACGUGAUGCAAGAGUCGAAAAACAUUUUUAGAUCUUCAUUAGAAAUGGUUCAUUUUAAUUCUACCAAGAAGCUUGUCAUGAUCUCCAAUCGGGUUGGAUGUUGUUUUGCCAAACAUUACAGAAGAAGGAGAGAAGCCAAUAGAUUAUGUGUCACGAACCCUUGCUCCAGCAGAAAAGAACUACUCUCAGCUGGAAAAUUGCAACGUGCAAUUACAUUCGGAGUAGAAAAAUUUUCACCAGAACCUGUAUGGUCAUAGAUUUGUAAUAUAUUCUGACCACAAACCAUUCUUUGGUGUGUUUAAACAUGACUGAACCAUCCUAACCAUAAAUGCAGCUGGAAUUCAGAGAUAGGCUCUGAUCCUACAAGUUUGAAAUUUUGUACAAGAAAGGUAAAAAGAAUGGUAUUGCAGGUUAGUUGAAGGGUGUUGAGGUUCCUUUACCUGGUGAGACCAGUUUUCACAUUGAACACUGAAAGAGUAUAUCUGUACACGGGGAAGAAUUUGAAGAAGACACUGAGAUUGGACCAAUUCCUGCGUCAGGUGACAUAUUUGAUAUAUACAGAAUUAAUGGACAGAGAAGAAUAACGACAAGAAACUUCGUCCUUAGUGCACAUGAAGGAUGUAUCUAAUGGGGGGCUCGCUUGGUGAUUCCAGAAUUAGGAAGGGAGAAAGUAUUGAAUCUGUUGCAUGAGGGACAUCCGGGGUUAGUAAAGAUGAAAAACCUGGCAAGGAGCCACUUAUGGUAGGCAGGAAUUGAUUAAGCUAUUGAGACCGAGGUACGGGUAUGUAAAGAUCUCCCAUGGUCUAAGAUACCUGCAGAUUAUGCAAGACCUAUUGUUGGAUCCAUGUCAUUUUUUGUCCUAAUUGACGCUUAUAGCAAGUGGAUUGAGGUCUACAUCUACAUUCAGGGUUCAUUGAGGUCUACAUUCAGGUCUACAUCUGAAGUGACCCUCGAAAAAUUCAGACAGGCAUUUGCAACUAUGCUGAUGUACUUGUCAAGGAAAACGGGGCCUGUUUUACAAGUCAUGAAUGAAUCCUGUUUUACAAAGGAGAAUGGUAUUGUACAUGUGAAGACCUCACCGUAUCAUCCAGCCUCCAAUAGGUUGGCGGAGCAGACGGUUUGGAGUUUUUAGUAAGAUAUGAAGAAGAUGGUUAAAGGCCCUGGAUCACUAAUGGCCGGGUUGCAAAAGUUUUUGUUAAACUACCGAACGACUCAUAAAUAGGAAAUUGCGUACAAAGCUAGACUUGGUCAUGCCCGAAACUCGAGAACGAGGGGAAAACCGACAAAAGAAAUUCAAGCACUGCCAUGAUUCAUAUGCAAGCAGACGAACAUUUAUAAAAGGAGAUGCCUUUAUAAUAGAAGUUUUCUAGAUAGACAGUGAAAAUGAGGAGAAAUAACUCAAAAGACGGAACCACUAUCAAACAAAAUCGCGCUACCAGACAUGUCGAUCAUAUCAAACAAAGAUAUUUCAAACCCUCAGUGAAACUGGACAAUCCUGAUGAAAGCAGAUAUACAGGCAUACGUAGGAAAGACUUUAAUUGAGAAAUGAUUGACAAGGAUACGGUUCAUAGAUUGGCUGGUGCAAAUACAUGCUGUACAAACAGACUUAAUUGUGGGAAUUGAAUGCAAGUGGUGUAAAGAAUGCACUUACCACCCGACAUACCAGGGUUUUUCCCCUGGGGUAAAAUUGACCCUUUUUGCGGAAAUGUUGAAUACAUCAGCCAGAGUCUUAAACUCUGUAUUCAAAGGAAAAAACUGACAUUUUUCCUCGAUUACUGUCAAAGCAUUUUUCGUAGUUGUGUACACAUUUUUAAAAAAAUCAAAAGUGAAAUCCAUCAAUGCUGUCCAGUUUUGAGUAGAAUCUUUAAUAAGAACAGGCACCGCGGUGUAUGCGUAUUUCCUCACAAAAUAGUCUGUGGAGAUAUUCCUUUCCAUGGGGACCUCUUUGAGAUUUCUACAACAAUCACAGUUCAUUAGAGGCCUAGCGAUUUCUAUCGUGAAACCCCUAUUUUUUAGAAGGCAAUGAGACUUGCGAAAUGAGGUCUAUAUUUUCUCAUCCCACCCGGUAACCUGUAUGACUACCCCAGCAAAGGUUACGACCCCUGCCAUGACAAGAAACGAUACGGUCAAGGCCAUUGGUACUUUUUUGGGCCAUGAUAUAUGUUUUUGUGGAUGAAAUUUUCCUCGCCUAAACACAUGGGCGACAAUUUCUUUUUCGAGGCCCGUUUUUCAAGCCCGUUCACGUAAUUCACACAAUUUUGAAUAAAACUUAUUCCGGCAUUCUUU